ACCAGUCCUUCGGGAUUGGGGAAAGCGGCGAACGGGUGAGUAACACGUGAGUAAUCUGCCCUCGGCACCGGGAUAGCCCGGGGAAACCCGGAUUAAUACUGGAUAGCCUUUCGAGCCUUUGGGCUCGUCAGAAAAGGUGGCUUCGGCAUCCGGCUGAGGAGGAGCUCGCGGCGGAUUAGCUUGUUGGCGGGGUAAUGGCCCACCAAGGCGACGAUCCGUAGCUGGUCUGAGAGGACGAUCAGCCACACUGGGACUGAGACACGGCCCAGACUCCUACGGGAGGCAGCAGUGGGGAAUCUUGCGCAAUGGGCGAAAGCCUGACGCAGCGACGCCGCGUGCGGGAAGAAGGCCUUCGGG
rnacentral:rRNA from 1 species